UGGGUAACUUGUGCCUGAAGGAUGAUGAC
rnacentral:piRNA from 1 species